rnacentral:piRNA from 1 species
CGAACGUCUAUAAUGACCAAAUUUCAGUUGC